CCUCCCACCAUCACAGAUGGACUGCUGGCAGUGGCCCGGCUCCCCCCAGGGUUCGAGAAUCAGGCGCAGGGGAUGAGAGGGAGAGAGCGUUAGAUUAGGAUGGGGGGGACAGAGCAGCAUUUGUUCAUAUUGACACUUUGUUUCCUGCUCCCAGAAUGUCACAUGAUUCACUGCUUCCUGGUCAGUGCUGGAACUACAUCUCCCAGCAGCCCUUGCACUGUGCAGAGGGGCGUGGUCAGAUUGUGCUGUGUUAGAC